UACGAAGGGUGCAAGCGUUACUCGGAAUUACUGGGCGUAAAGCGCGCGUAGGUGGUUUGUUAAGUCUGAUGUGAAAGCCCUGGGCUCAACCUGGGAAUUGCAUUGGAUACUGGCAGGCUAGAGUGCGGUAGAGGGUAGUGGAAUUCCCGGUGUAGCAGUGAAAUGCGUAGAGAUCGGGAGGAACACCAGUGGCGAAGGCGACUACCUGGACCAGCACUGACACUGAGGCACGAAAGCAUGGGGAGCAAACAGG
rnacentral:rRNA from 1 species